rnacentral:rRNA from 1 species
UAGGGAAUCUUCCACAAUGGACGCAAGUCUGAUGGAGCAACGCCGCGUGAGUGAAGAAGGUUUUCGGAUCGUAAAGCUCUGUUGUUGGUGAAGAAGGAUAGAGGCAGUAACUGGUCUUUAUUUGACGGUAAUCAACCAGAAAGUCACGGCUAACUACGUGCCAGCAGCCGCGGUAAUACGUAGGUGGCAAGCGUUGUCCGGAUUUAUUGGGCGUAAAGCGAGCGCAGGCGGAAUGAUAAGUCUGAUGUGAAAGCCCACGGCUCAACCGGGGAACUGCAUCGGAAACUGGCAUUCUUGAGUGCAGAAGAGGAGAGUGGAAUUCCAUGUGUAGCGGUGGAAUGCGUAGAUAUAUGGAAGAACACCAGUGGCGAAGGCGGCUCUCUGGUCUGCAACUGACGCUGAGGCUCGAAAGCAUGGGUAGCGAACAGG